UACGUAGGGGGCAAGCGUUGUCCGGAUUUAUUGGGCGUAAAGAGCGUGUAGGCGGCCAGACAGGUCCGUUGUGAAAACUAGAGGCUUAACCUCUAGACGUCGAUGGAAACCGUCUGGCUAGAGUCCGGAAGAGGAGAAUGGAAUUCCUGGUGUAGCGGUGAAAUGCGUAGAUAUCGAGAGGAACACCUGCGGCGAAGGCGGGUUGCUGGGCUGACACUGACGCUGAUUGUGCGAAAGCUAGGGGAGCGAACGGG
rnacentral:rRNA from 1 species